UACGUAGGUGACAAGCGUUGUCCGGAUUUACUGGGCGUAAAGAGCGCGCAGGCGGUCGUUCAAGUCGAGUGUGAAAGCCCCCGGCUCAACUGGGGAGGGUCAUUCGAUACUGAUCGACUCGAAGGCAGGAGAGGGAAGUGGAAUUCCCGGUGUAGUGGUGAAAUGCGUAGAUAUUGGGAGGAACACCGGUGGCGAAGGCGGCUCACUGGACCGGUUCUGACGCUGAGGCGCGAAAGCGUGGGGAGCAAACGGG
rnacentral:rRNA from 1 species